rnacentral:rRNA from 1 species
UACGAAGGGGGCUAGCGUUGCUCGGAAUCACUGGGCUUAAAGGGCGCGUAGGCGGACAAUCAAGUCAGGGGUGAAAUCCCACGGCUCAACCGUGGAAGUGCCUUUGAUACUGACUGUCUCGAGGGAGGGUAGGGCGUGCGGAACUUCCGGUGGAGCGGUGAAAUGCGUAGAUAUCGGAAGGAACGCCGGUGGCGAAAGCGGCGGCGCUGGACCGUCUUCUGACGCUGAGGCGCGAAAGCUAGGGGAGCAAACGGG